rnacentral:rRNA from 1 species
GCGAGAGUCGAUUUGGAGGUUGUGCCCUUGAGGCGUGGCUUCCGGAGCUAACGCGUUAAAUCGACCGCCUGGGGAGUACGGCCGCAAGGUUAAAACUCAAAUGAAUUGACGGGGGCCCGCACAAGCGGUGGAGCAUGUGGUUUAAUUCGAUGCAACGCGAAGAACCUUACCUGGUCUUGACAUCCACAGAACUUUCCAGAGAUGGAUUGGUGCCUUCGGGAACUGUGAGACAGGUGCUGCAUGGCUGUCGUCAGCUCGUGUUGUGAAAUGUUGGGUUAAGUCCCGCAACGAGCGCAACCCUUAUCCUUUGUUGCCAGCGGUUAGGCCGGGAACUCAAAGGAGACUGCCAGUGAUAAACUGGAGGAAGGUGGGGAUGACGUCAAGUCAUCAUGGCCCUUACGACCAGGGCUACACACGUGCUACAAUGGCGCAUACAAAGAGAAGCGACCUCGCGAGAGCAAGCGGACCUCAUAAAGUGCGUCGUAGUCCGGAUUGGAGUCUGCAACUCGACUCCAUGAAGUCGGAAUCGCUAGUAAUCGUAGAUCAGAAUGCUACGGUGAAUACGUUCCCGGGCCUUGUACACACCGCCCGUCACACCAUGGGAGUGGGUUGCAAAAGAAGUAGGUAGCUUAACCUUCGGGAGGGCGCUUACCACUUUGUGAUUCAUGACUGGGGUGAAGUCGUAACAAGGUAACCGUAAA